rnacentral:lncRNA from 1 species
GCCCCGGCGGGCCUGGGCUGGAAGGGGGCGGGCCUGCCCUUCAGCCCCUCGCCUGGUCGACCCCGGAGAGUAUUUGAAGCUCGCGCUUCCUCCACCGCCCGAGCUCCAGACCCUUCUUCCCAGCGCGGCGCGACGGCCCCAAGUGGAUGGGCUGUCUCUGGUGAACACGUCCAACUCCAGAGGCUGUGACUCUGGGGACCUUCGUGACCCCAAGACAGGGUCACACACCCGUGGCAUUUGGUCGCCAAAUUCCAGACAAGGACCCCCAUUCAACCGACUGGCUCCAAGCUGAGCCUUGGAGAGGUGGCUGGGGACAGGAGGAAAAGACAGAGCCCCCCACGCAUUGCCAGGAUUUCUCUUUCCGUAUCCCAGCCUCCCUGCUCCCUGGGGCACACAGGUGGAUGGCGGAGGCAGCCAGUGAAGGCACCAACCGAGGGGCAGGUGAGGUCACUGGGGGCGGGGGAUGCGGGGGAGCAAGAAGGAGAAGCAGCUUUGCCUGAGGGGCCACAGCUGGGAGGACAGCCGGGAAGCCUUCUGGGCUGAGGCUUGUGAGAUGGCUGGAAGUUAGCCAGGAGGACAAGCGCUUCCAGGCAGGAGGAACAGCAUCUGCAAAGGCUCAGCGCACGGCGCAACCUGGUGGGACUGGAGUCCCGCUGGUUCUUGAAACCCAGGGGCAUGAACACUAUCCUCUAGGCAUUGGAGAUGCAAAUGGCCUUAAGCAAAGGAGUGAGCCGGUACACGCUACAGAAGGACGCACGUAGCGUGGUCCUCUUAGACGA